rnacentral:rRNA from 1 species
GCUAAACGCGAAGAACCUUACCAGGCCUUGACAUACCGAUUACGGGGAUCAGAGAUGAACCCUUUCAGUUCGGCUGGAUCGGAUACAGGUGCUGCAUGGCUGUCGUCAGCUCGUGCCGUGAGGUGUUGGGUUAAGUCCCGCAACGAGCGCAACCCUCGUCUAUAGUUGCCAUCAGGUUAUGCUGGGCACUCUAUAGAGACUGCCGGUGACAAGCCGGAGGAGGGUGGGGAUGACGUCAAGUCCUCAUGGCCCUUACAUCCAGGGCUACACACGUACUACAAUGGCCAGUACAGAAGGUUGCAAGACCGCAAGGUGGAGCUAAUCCCCAAAACUGGCCUCAGUUCAGAUUGGAGUCUGCAACUCGACUCCAUGAAGGCGGAAUCGCUAGUAAUCGCUGAUCAGCAGGCAGCGGUGAAUACGUUCCCCGGGUCUUGUACACACCG